GUAGGGAGCAAGCGUUAUUCGGAUUUACUGGGCGUAAAGAGUGCGUAGGCGGUUGGGUAAGUCAAGGGUGAAAUCUCUGCUCUCAAGGCAGAAACUGCCCUUGAUACUGCCCGACUUGAGGACAGGAGAGGGAAGUGGAACUCUGGAAGUAGCGGUGAAAUGCGUAGAUAUCCAGGGGAACGCCAGUGGCGAAGGCGGCUUCCUGGUCUGUCCCUGACGCUGAGGCACGAAAGCUAGGGGAGCGAUCGGGGGAUUAGAGACCCCGGUAGUCCUAGCCGUAAACGAUGGGUACUAAGUGUGGGGGGAGCAUUACUCUCCGUGCUGAAGCUAACGCGUUAAGUACCCCGCCUGGGGAGUACGGUCGCAAGGCUG
rnacentral:rRNA from 1 species